CAAUAGCGUAUAUUUAAGUUGUUGCAGUUAAAAAGCUCGUAGUCGGAUUUUGGCUGAGCACGAUCGGUCCGCCGUUAGGUGUGCACUGAUUGGUCUCAGCUUCCUGGUGAGGAGGUGUGCUUCACGGCCACUUAGUCACCGUGGUUACUUUGAAAAAAUUAGAGUGUUCAAAGCGGGCUUACGCUUGAAUAUAUUAGCAUGGAAUAACACCAUAGGACUCCUGUCCUAUUUCGUUGGUCUCGGGACGGGAGUAAUGAUUAAGAGGAACAGUUGGGGGCAUUCGUAUUUCAUUGUCAGAGGUGAAAUUCUUGGAUUUAUGAAAGACGAACUUCUGCGAAAGCAUUUGCCAAGGAUGUUUUCAUUGA
rnacentral:rRNA from 1 species